rnacentral:rRNA from 1 species
UACGAAGGGGGCUAGCGUUGCUCGGAAUUACUGGGCGUAAAGGGCGCGUAGGCGGAUAGUUUAGUCAGAGGUGAAAGCCCAGGGCUCAACCUUGGAAUUGCCUUUGAUACUGGCUAUCUUGAGUUCGGGAGAGGUGAGUGGAAUUGCGAGUGUAGAGGUGAAAUUCGUAGAUAUUCGCAGGAACACCAGUGGCGAAGGCGGCUCACUGGCUCGAUACUGACGCUGAGGUGCGAAAGCGUGGGGAGCAAACAGG